AGUGUUGACACCAUUAUUGUAACAUCUGUGAAGGGAAAAAUAUGAGCCGAUUUCUAAGUGCACAAAUGGUCCCGGAGUUAUAAAGAUUCUUUUAUGCUUAAUUGUAUUCAUUAUCAGCAGUAAUUAUUUCUAACAUGAGCAGUUUCUUCCAAUUUAAUGUCAACCUAAAAGGUUAAGACCUUACAAUAGAGGCAUUUCUACCUCAUGAUUUGUUGGGUCUGCAAAGUUACGCUAAUUGGUAAAACAAGAAUUGCUUCUGGGGGCUGGCCUGCCUCGAUUUCGUCUUGUCUGGGUAAAGCAGAUCUCUCUGACUAUUAACUUCGCAAAGGAGUACUACUGGGCAGAGUGGAAAAGGAUUUCCAGGCUUACACUAGGAGCCAUAUUUAUGUCAUCAGUGGAGGGACUGCUGAAGGUUCUGUCCCACCAUCUCUAUCCCAGCAUCCUUGGAAGCAAGCUUUUGUAAUUGCAGAUGCUUGAUGUUGAGUGAUGCAUGGAGGGAGAAGGCCCCAGAAUGCUCCAGUAGUCAUUUAUGGAUGAGAAGCUGGUCUUGCUAACUAAGGCAAUGUGAGCAUGUCCUCCCAUGCCAACAGAUAAAAGCCCCAGUGACCCAAGCUCUUCUGUUCACAAUGGGCCAAGGGGACCCCAGAAUGCCAGACUUCAUCUAAUAGGCAAUCUCUUUUACCUGGUGGUUCUGUCUCCAAAGGACUGCUGCCAUGGAGAGAACUAGUGGUGUAAGGGGCUGUCGGGACCACAAUAAUGCUGGAUAAGUACCUGACAGCCCCACCGACAUCUCAGCUAUAGAGACAUCGAAUCAACGAGAUCAUCAUUUCUGCCAACUUGACGAGAAAACAACGCUGCACCUUCAAAGGCAUGAGGCCGAGCCUUUCACGGUGCAAGACAAAUGACCCUCAGUGUGAUCCCUGGUGCCACCUCUAACAGGAAAUUAUAAUAAUAUGACAAUGAUUCACUUCCAGAAAGUCAUUUGGAUAUGUGCCGAUGAGGAAUGUCUGCCAGGCUGCAUUGCACUUGUCUUUCUUCUGCCCACCACAGCAAAUUCAGGAGCAGGCGGUGGUGGGUGCAGCAGCUGCAGAGUCCGACGCAGGGGCAGCGCUUGGAGCUUCAGAAGGAAGGCAGGCGUCCUUAGAUUUGCAGCUUGGUGGCAUCGUUUCCCCCACCACCCAGAGGCACUUCUGGGCUGGCACGGGGACAGACGCAGAGACAUCUCGAGCUGCGCUCUAAGAAAUAUCUUCCAAUUCCUUGGCAGGUUGCUAAUAAACCUUCGCAGCAGGAAGGUGGCCAUGUCUGGAACCUGGAAACGUGUUUGCAAGAAACUCUCAUAGAGUCAUCAAGGUCAAAGUUGAUCUUCCUGUUAUUAAACUUGGAUGAGAAUGUUCCUGUGGACUUUGGCAGCAAGUCCAUAUUCUUUAUUUAAAUGGAAUAGUAGGAAGAAAAGGUGAGGGCACACCUUCAAUAAACCUGGGCCAGCAAGGAUGCUGCCA
rnacentral:lncRNA from 1 species